GUGCUCACUUCAGCAGCACAUAUACUAAAAUUAGAAUGAUACAGAGACUAGCAUGGCCCCUGUGCAAGGAUGGCAUGCAAUUGUGAAGUGUUCCAUAUUUUA